UGGUUCUUCGCCAUUCACAGCAGACAUUUAUUGAGCGCUUACUGUGUGCCGGAAGUAAGCCAGGUGCUAGAAACAGCAAAGGGACAGGAAGAGUCCGGGUCAGCCACUGAGUCCUCAGUGACACUGCACUGACCCUGGUUGACAUGGGAACAGAUGAACCCUUCAGGCACCACGCUGACGACCUGGGCUGGGUCCUUAGAUGAGCCUGCCUAGGCCCUUCCAGCAGCCAAAAGGGAUUCAGUGGGUGAGACCCUGUCCCUCUUUGUCCAGGUCCAGAGGCAUACACAGACAAGCUCCCACACACUCCUCCAAACACGCCUCCAGCUUCAACAUGCAAACACACACACACACACACACACACUCACACAUUUCUCGGCACGGGCAGUUUCACAAGGAGGUGGUGUGGAGGUGCUGCCUACAAGUCAUGCUGAGUCACCCACCUCGACGUAAAACUGUCAGGGUGCCCGAACGUCCACCAUCGGGAGAUCAGCUUGAGCAGCUUUUUGGGCCAAGCCUCUCGCCAAAAUGUCAGAGACGUAACAGUGAACAAGGGGACAACGUCUUAAGGCUUUUGCUUGGAGAGGGGUUUGGAGAAGGGGAGGGGGCCAGUGGAGACAGACCUCACCGCCUUUACUUGGCCACAAGCCUGUCCCGGUCAGAGCUGCCUAACAUGGUGGGAGGGGGUGGGGCUGGUCCUGAUGCCCUGGGUCACCCGUAUUCCUCCGGGGGCAUAAAAAUAAUGCCGUCACUGAGUAAGUGCCUCCGAAGUGCCGGGUACCAUGAUGUGCCGCUGCUUCACGUCCAUGGUCACCCAGGGGACGUCCAAUCUCCCAGCGAGGGUGUUACCGCCCUUCUCCAUGUGAGGACACGGAGGCGCAAGACUUGCCUAAGAGCACGAGACACGUCGUGCGGGGGGGCCGCUCUCCUCUGCCCUUCUCCUCGAGGCCUCCGGGCACAGGGAGACGGGGUCUGACUCUGGGAAAGGACGAGAGGGGCUGGGAUCUGCCUGGGAGGCUGAGCAAGACGAACUUCAGGACUGGACCUGCUGCCUGCAGAGGCCAAGGGCUCGGGCGGCGGCCACACGCGGGGGGAGAGGUCUGCUCUGCGCUGCGAGGACGCCGCACCUCCUUCCCACGCAGCGGCCUCAGUCCAGGGCCUGAGUGCAGAGAGCCUGCCUGCGCCCCCUGAUCCCACCCCACCCCGGGGGUGGGCUCCAGCCUGUGGAAAGCCAACCCCCUCACUUUGGGGGUCCUGGGCUCCUAAUCCUCUUAACCCCACGGAAUUAUCCCCCCAGAGGGAAGGGAGUUUUGCUCAAACAACCCUGGAAGCCUGACUCCACUGAGAUUUCUCCGAGCCCCUCACUGUAGGAUGCCUGGAGCUUGGCCCCUGCUCCGUGGCAUAGC
rnacentral:lncRNA from 1 species